ensembl:lncRNA
CGGGGUGCUUUUAUUUUUUGAAAGUGUAGAGUAACUGUAAUGAUGCAUUCUUAUUUUUGUUCUGUAGACAUUCAAAACAAACAGACAGAUCACGUUGACAAGAGCCAGAAACAAUAUUUCAUUAUUUUCCUAUAAUUGCACAGGUAUUAAUAAUACUUGCAUGCCGUAUUUAUAAAAUGACCCUCACACAUUAGAAAGAAAAAAUAAUCAUUGCAAUAUUGCAAUGCAUUGUACGUUAUUUGCACGGAGUGUUCUAUUGCUGUUAAAAUCACUUGAGAAACAAAGAUGAUUAAUAUAAAAGCUACAUUUCCUUUUUUAAAAAUAAACCACGUUUUUAUUUCAAAUCUACUUCAGUUCUGGUUCAGAGCAAUGCUGAAAACAGAAGUCUGUGUACAGAACAUAGCCAUCUUGUCUUCAAGUUAUAAAAGGAUUGGUAGCUUUGCUUUAUUUGAGAGCAGAUAUCUUACAGAUGUUUAAUUUAAAGCUCAUGUGCAGUACCACUGAAGCAAAUGGGAUUACUAAAGUACUUAAAGUAAUUCCCUGCUGAAUCAGGCUUUUAAGAGUAAGAAUAAAUGUGCCUAAUUUUUAUUCAUGCAUCAGAUAGCUAUCAGACUAAUAGUUUAAACUCAGCAGUUUUGUAUCUAGUUAAUAUUAAAUCGCUAGAGUUUAAUAUCUUCACCUGUUGCAUCUACCAUCCCUGCAUCGAGGACAUUUCUAAAUACAACCCUGCAGCACAGGUUUUGCAUACACGCAGUGUCCUUAGGUGCUGAUGUGCUGCAUGCACAAAUGUGACCACAAAUGAGACACUCAUGGCUUCUUACAUCAUCAAGAUGUCUGAAUGAUACUACAAGUUCAGUGCAAAGCACUUCUGUCCUCAAAGCUCCCAAAAUCUAUCCCCUGCUGAAAGUAUGAUAAGAGAAGGCUGGUAGUAACAAAUACAUCCUGUCACCAAGCUUCAACUCCAAGAUAAUCUCAUUAAAAUUACUACACCUGGAAAUAUAAACUACAAGCAAAAUUACUAUUCAUUUUAGCAUCGUUUGUAAGUCACCUAAAGACCCACCAAUAUAUUUGUGCUAACAGAAAAACAUAUGUAAUUCCCUCCUAAAAUUUCCAUUGGUCACCUCUGCCCAUCCAGUCUCACUGGUUCCUGUGAUCUGAUAUUAACUGCAUGUAAUUUAAAUCAAGGGAGUAAAUCAAAGAACUAAUAGACGUUUUGUGAGUGUAAUACUUCAGCACCUUCUUUGUAACAUCCCACUUCUGCUCUGUGCCAGCUCUGUCCUUGUGCAGGGGCCCAGGAAUACACUGAAAGGCAACGAUAAACCAUCUUUGUCUUCUGGGAAUCUAGGCUAAAACACAACAUGGCUUUCUCUUGUGUCAUAAGAAAGAAAAUAGGAAAGAGGGAUCAAUACAAGCAGAGCGAAAGCGGUAAGCUCCUCUGGGAUCACUACUGUUUCAAUCUUUUCCUUGACUGAGAAAUGCAAGAUAUGUAGGGCAUAAAACCUGAUGAGCUCAGGAAAGAACCAGAGGACACUGAAUUGAUCUUUUUCACCAACACCACCGACUUUUCAGGCUUCUGCUCCAGCAUUAAUAGCAGCUUUCCACAAAAGCUCCCAUUGCAUACAGGUCUCAGACCUCAGCUCACUAUAAAGCCUUGCCUAAAGUUGCAGGAAAAGACUGCCUGGUGUCUGUGACAGAGACAGGACAUUCUUGCCUGGUUUUCCACAUUCCACAGCUACAGAGCAAAAUCCCCAGGACACAAAGGGGCACUGAAACUUCCCCAUACUCCCAAGGACAAGACAUAUUUCUUCAAUUUUGGCUUAUUCUCUUCAUAUGCGUGCAAAUACGUGUGCACAAACACUUCUAUCGAUGCAUUUUCCAGCAGAACAAGAAAUCCUGACGCCCCUUUUUGGGCUUCAUAGCACACAUUUUCUCUGAUCAAAGGAGAUGAUGUGGGACAUGGCACAGUGAUGGUGUUCUGCAUGCUGCUGGGAAGAGCAGGUUCUGUGGUACUGCCCAUACGAGCACAAAGACGUGUGCAGAACGGUGUGGUGCGAAGCACAAAGCUUGACAAUUUACUCAGCUAAAAUGGAAUGUUUAAUACGUGCUAUAUUUUCCUUCAGUUGAAGUCAAAACUGCUUAUAGUUGGGCUGAAUUCGGCAUUCAUUUCUGAAGCUUAGCUUCCAGCUUCUGGUGGUUCAUACUCAAACACUCACAUAUUGAUAUUCUUCAUCUGCAGUUCAUUUUCUACCCUUACCAGUAAUUCCUAUGCUAACUUCUACUAACAUCACUCUGGCCAUUUCCCCACUCUUCUGUGUCCAGACAGCACCACUCCCCGUGAUUUGCAAGUAUGAUUCACACUUUUUACAAAAUCCCCAUUGAAAAGGAACAUUUGCUUUCAGAUUUCCUUCCAGUCUUGGUGUACGGUUGCAAAUGUACACAAAGCCCAGACUUGAGAAGAGAUGCCCCAGGACAACACCACCUUUCAGUUCCUUCUCCACUAGCUCUAUGCUCUUUUGUUUCUCUUGUCAUUCAGCCCUCUAUUUUUAUCUGGUUAUCGAAUACCUAGCAGAGGAAGACUUGGCAGCGUUUAACUCCAUUCAGUCACCCAGCGGCCACGGAGCUGGGGCACAACGUGAGGUUCUGUACCGAGUUCCCAGCGCCGUCCUUGGAAGGCGUUCGUGCAGUUCUCGAGGCUUGAGUUUCCGCGGCCGUGUGCCCCUUUGAGACAGCGGGAUUGGGGUGUGAUUGAGGACAUGGACAAAGCACAGCUCUGCACCUGCGACUUUAACUUAAAACCAGCGUUAGAUCCCAAAGAGCGACACGUUUCAGUCCCACCUGUGAGCACUCUCCCUCACAGGCUGCGUCCGCUCGCAACACCCGCAGGCGCUCAGUGCGCAGAACCCCGCGUGCCAUCUCCGCCCGGGGGACACCCUACGGGGCGG